rnacentral:rRNA from 1 species
GACGAACGCUGGCGGCGUGCCUAAUACAUGCAAGUAGAACGCUGAAGGAGGAGCUUGCUCUUCUGGAUGAGUUGCGAACGGGUGAGUAACGCGUAGGUAACCUGCCUGGUAGCGGGGGAUAACUAUUGGAAACGAUAGCUAAUACCGCAUAAGAGUAGAUGUUGCAUGACAUUUACUUAAAAGGUGCAAUUGCAUCACUACCAGAUGGACCUGCGUUGUAUUAGCUAGUUGGUGGGGUAACGGCUCACCAAGGCGACGAUACAUAGCCGACCUGAGAGGGUGAUCGGCCACACUGGGACUGAGACACGGCCCAGACUCCUACGGGAGGCAGCAGUAGGGAAUCUUCGGCAAUGGACGGAAGUCUGACCGAGCAACGCCGCGUGAGUGAAGAAGGUUUUCGGAUCGUAAAGCUCUGUUGUAAGAGAAGAACGAGUGUGAGAGUGGAAAGUUCACACUGUGACGGUAUCUUACCAGAAAGGGACGGCUAACUACGUGCCAGCAGCCGCGGUAAUACGUAGGUCCCGAGCGUUGUCCGGAUUUAUUGGGCGUAAAGCGAGCGCAGGCGGUUAGAUAAGUCUGAAGUUAAAGGCUGUGGCUUAACCAUAGUACGCUUUGGAAACUGUUUAACUUGAGUGCAAGAGGGGAGAGUGGAAUUCCAUGUGUAGCGGUGAAAUGCGUAGAUAUAUGGAGGAACACCGGUGGCGAAAGCGGCUCUCUGGCUUGUAACUGACGCUGAGGCUCGAAAGCGUGGGGAGCAAACAGG